rnacentral:rRNA from 1 species
GAUGAACGCUGGCGGCGUGCUUAACACAUGCAAGUCGAACGAUGAAGCUCCAGCUUGCUGGGGUGGAUUAGUGGCGAACGGGUGAGUAACACGUGAGCAACCUGCCCCUGACUCUGGGAUAAGCGCUGGAAACGGCGUCUAAUACUGGAUAUGCACUGUAGCCGCAUGGUUUGCAGUGGGAAAGAUUUAUCGGUUGGGGAUGGGCUCGCGGCCUAUCAGCUUGUUGGUGAGGUAAUGGCUCACCAAGGCGUCGACGGGUAGCCGGCCUGAGAGGGUGACCGGCCACACUGGGACUGAGACACGGCCCAGACUCCUACGGGAGGCAGCAGUGGGGAAUAUUGCACAAUGGGCGCAAGCCUGAUGCAGCAACGCCGCGUGAGGGAUGACGGCCUUCGGGUUGUAAACCUCUUUUAGCAGGGAAGAAGCCUUCGGGUGACGGUACUUGCAGAAAAAGCGCCGGCUAACUACGUGCCAGCAGCCGCGGUAAUACGUAGGGCGCAAGCGUUAUCCGGAAUUAUUGGGCGUAAAGAGCUCGUAGGCGGUUUGUCGCGUCUGCUGUGAAAUCUGGAGGCUCAACCUCCAGCCUACAGUGGGUACGGGCAGACUAGAGUGCGGUAGGGGAGAUUGGAAUUCCUGGUGUAGCGGUGGAAUGCGCAGAUAUCAGGAGGAACACCGAUGGCGAAGGCAGAUCUCUGGGCCGUUACUGACGCUGAGGAGCGAAAGGGUGGGGAGCAAACAGGCUUAGAUACCCUGGUAGUCCACCCCGUAAACGUUGGGAACUAGUUGUGGGGGCCUUUCCACGGUCUCUGUGACGCAGCUAACGCAUUAAGUUCCCCGCCUGGGGAGUACGGCCGCAAGGCUAAAACUCAAAGGAAUUGACGGGGACCCGCACAAGCGGCGGAGCAUGCGGAUUAAUUCGAUGCAACGCG